rnacentral:rRNA from 1 species
CCUACGGGAGGCAGCAGUGGGGAAUAUUGCACAAUGGGGGAAACCCUGAUGCAGCGACGCCGCGUGAGUGAAGAAGUAUUUCGGUACGUAAAGCUCUAUCAGCAGGGAAGAAAAACCGGCCUUAGGGCCGCCAGACGGUACCUGACUAAGAAGCCCCGGCUAACUACGUGCCAGCAGCCGCGGUACUACGUAGGGGGCAAGCGUUAUCCGGAUUUACUGGGUGUAAAGGGAGCGUAGACGGCAGAUCAAGUCUGGAGUGAAAUGCCGGGGCCCAACCCCGGAACUGCUUUGGAAACUGUGCAGCUGGAGGGCAGGAGAGGGAAGCGGAAUUCCUAGUGUAGCGGUGAAAUGCGUAGAUAUUAGGAGGAACACCAGUGGCGAAGGCGGCUUACUGGACUGUAACUGACGUUGAGGCUCGAAAGCGUGGGGAGCAAACAGGAUUAGAUACCCUUGUAGUC